rnacentral:rRNA from 1 species
GAGGAAUAUUGGUCAAUGGGCGAGAGCCUGAACCAGCCAAGUAGCGUGCAGGAUGACGGCCCUAUGGGUUGUAAACUGCUUUUGUAUGGGGAUAAAGUCAAUCACGUGUGAUUGUUUGCAGGUACCAUACGAAUAAGGACCGGCUAAUUCCGUGCCAGCAGCCGCGGUAAUACGGAAGGUCCGGGCGUUAUCCGGAUUUAUUGGGUUUAAAGGGAGCGUAGGCCGGAGAUUAAGUGUGUUGUGAAAUGUAGACGCUCAACGUCUGACUUGCAGCGCAUACUGGUUUCCUUGAGUACGCACAACGUUGGCGGAAUUCGUCGUGUAGCGGUGAAAUGCUUAGAUAUGACGAAGAACUCCGAUUGCGAAGGCAGCUGACGGGAGCGCAACUGACGCUGAAGCUCGAAGGUGCGGGUAUCGAACAGGAUUAGAUACCCUGGUAGUCCGCACAGUAAACGAUGGAUGCCCGCUGUUGGUACCUGGUAUCAGCGGCUAAGCGAAAGCAUUAAGCAUCCCACCUGGGGAGUACGCCGGCAACGGUG